UGGCAGGCUAGCCCGGGUAGUUAGGCGUUACCUGUGACCCGAAAUCGCCGAUAUGCGGGGGGCGAAGCCGUUGGAAGAUGUUAUCAAUUACCUCUUCAACCCACGGACUUGACUGAGAAGCUCCGUCCUAUGGGGAUAACGUUGAUAUGGAAGCUUUCCUGAAGGCAUGUUUCCAUGACUUAAUUGAGGGAAUCGGUCCAGGCCCGGAAGGGAGCAGACUUACCUUGAACAAUUA
rnacentral:SRP_RNA from 1 species